ensembl:snoRNA
UGGCUUGAUUUCUUGGUUGGUAGAUUCAGCCUCUUCAUUUUCUCUCAGACGAGCCCAGAGCAGAGGCUCUGGGCUUCAUUCCACAGUAGAGAGGUGAUCUAGAGAGGAACCUCACCCAGGGCAGUCUUUGCCUCACAUUA